GCUUAGUGGUGGGGUGACUGCGUACCUUUUGUAUAAUGGGUCAGCGACUUAUAUUCUGUAGCAAGGUUAACCGAAUAGGGGAGCCGGAGGGAAACCGAGUCUUAAUUGGGCGUUAAGUUGCAGGGUAUAGACCCGAAACCCGGUGAUCUAGCCAUGGGCAGGUUGAAGGUUGGGUAACACUAACUGGAGGACCGAACCGACUAAUGUUGAAAAAUUAGCGGAUGACCUGUGGCUGGGGGUGAAAGGCCAAUCAAACCGGGAGAUAGCUGGUUCUCCCCGAAAGCUAUUUAGGUAGCGCCUCGUGAAUUCAUCUCCGGGGGUAGAGCACUGUUUCGGCUAGGGGGCCAUCCCGGCUUACCAACCCGAUGCAAACUGCGAAUACCGGAGAAUGUUAUCACGGGAGACACACGGCGGGUGCUAACGUCCGUCGUGAAGAGGGAAACAACCCAGACCGCCAGCUAAGGUCCCAAAGUCAUGGUUAAGUGGGAAACGAUGUGGGAAGGCCCAGACAGCCAGGAUGUUGGCUUAGAAGCAGCCAUCAUUUAAAGAAAGCGUAAUAGCUCACUGGUCGAGUCGGCCUGCGCGGAAGAUGUAACGGGGCUAAACCAUGCACCGAAGCUGCGGCAGCGA
rnacentral:rRNA from 1 species